CAAUUAUACCGAUGUACGUAUAGGAAAGGCUCCAUGUGCAAAUAUUCUGAGCGGUGCACUCACGGCAGAUGAAGCAGCAGCCCAGGACACAUGAUGAACUGGAUUACUGGUGCACAUGUUUCGAGCAGGAAGAGCUCCUCCAAUAGUUUCAUCAUACUGUGAUACCUAAAUUGACCGACCUCCAUUUUAUAACCUUAUAAAACGAAUAUGUCGCAUCUUUUCGUCAACCACAUCACACAAAUUUUGGAUUCCGCCACUAGAUAGAUUCCACUGCCUUACGGAAUGCUUUACCAAGAGUUACUUUUGCAAAUUCUCCUACCUAUACCUAUCGGAUUUCUUCUCCUAGAAGAAUGAUUUCAUCUGUUGCGCUUUUCACUGCCAUGUAUUGCAUACCCAACUCUGCUUUAAAGGGUCUCAGGAAAUGAUAUAAAUCUCCUCCGAAAGUAUUUCUCAAAUACCUCUUUUCAUGGUUAUGUGCCCAUUCAAGGAAUUGAAUGCACAAUCAUGGUGUCUGUGAUGUGGGUAUUGUAGGGAAGUGAGGUGUUUUCUAAUGUCAGCCAGUAGUUGCAGCUGCGGCGUCAUCAAGAUUCACUCUGCGAUUCACACAACUGGAGUUGUGCUAUAAUGGGUUCAUCUGUUUUAUGAAUCUGCAGUUUGUGGCUGAAUUUGUGUGUAUUUGGAUUGGGAUUGAUUUCCACUGUUUUUAGGGUUUCUUUUUCUUUUUCGUUUGUAUGUUUUUGGGGGCAUUUAAAAGUCCUAAGAAGGGCAGCUUGCAUAUCAUAUUCUUGAAAAAUAUGAGUUGCUGAACUGUUUCAACUAAUGUUGUUUGAUCAGUUGUUAUGUCGGGAUUAGUUUGAGAAUAUAAAAUAGGCGAUUCAUAUUCCCGACAUAUUUUUCUUGAUUUUGAAUACCCAAUUGCUUGAGCUUCAAUGAGAGAAUCUUGAUGAUGCUGCAUCGGCAAUAAAUGGCUAAAAUAAACAGAGGCUGGUGUGCUGCAUACAAAGGAUCUUACUAAGGCUAUUGCUGUUGACGGGCACUGUUAGCAUCAAUGAUGCAGAUAAAACAUUUGGGCUUCCGAGUAUUUGCUGUCAUCAUUGCUUAGUCAAGUUAUUCGCUACCAUGACAUGAUGAUUUCUUUCUUUUAUAGAUGGUCAUCAGCCAUGGCGGCCCAUCAGUUAUUGGGAUUGCUGGCUUGUUGCGGUUCAUCAUGUUUCUCCGAUAAGAUUCCAACAUUUUACUGUGGAAGUAGUAGAUAAGGGAUCCAAUUGGAAUCCUAAUAAAGAGGUUUUGUUAAACGAUGCAGAGAAGUUGAAGGUAUGGCAGAGUUGAACUCUCUUGUCUGAUAAAUCUGGAAUUUCUGAACGUGAAGAGAUUGGUAAUGAGGCCGCCUCUUUCAAGAACUAUUUUUUCUUAGCAAUGGUUUGUGUGCCAUAUAGUUUUGGUUAUAUUUUUAAUGUUAUGGCAGCUAAGAAAACUUUUUCAACUGUUUACAAUGGAAUUCUUUAUAGAGGAUUAAUAUUUUAAAUUUUUGGAAGCACGAAUAUAA